AGCGGAGUGGAAGCACUGUAUUGUUGGCUGUAUUAUUAUAUUACUCACGGAUUUCAAUGUUAACCGGUAUGGGUACUCUCGGGAUUUGGCAGCCCGCGUGCAUGCAUGCACGCACCGCACACCUAGCAGGACCGUCUCUGAUUCCACUCGUAGGGAGCUAUUUGACUAAGUGGUUAAUGUGAUGCUCCGGAAGUGGGUCGAAAUUCGUGCACGGAAAAUAUUUUAAUUUCGUAUGAAAAAAUUUUAUAAUUAUUAAUCUUAUUGUAAAAAGAAACCGUCAAACGCAAAAUGAAUAUUUUAUGUCCAUAUAAGGACAUAUCUGUAAAAACUUCUAAGAAAGUCGAACUACUCAGGUUAAAACAAUGGAUGAAUUUGAGUACUUAGAUCGAACGUCUUCGAUAGGAAUCAAAUUGUCAAUCGAAGUUGACUCACCCCGCGAUCUGGGCUCCGAUCCCGUUACAAUUCGUAACGAGGAGGGGGACCAAUUGGAGAACGGGGGAAAGUCGACAUCGACCUAUCGGAGUGUUCGAUCAGGGACUCAGAAAAAACUUAUAAAAACCGCGCAAAAAUAGGAUGUGACGUUCUUGGUUCUAAGUUCGGUGUGCUCCGCUUCUGGAUUUUUCCUGCGGUUCAACAACGGGAACUUGGUCGUCAUUCCGAAAGAAGUUUUCGCCAUCCCGUCCCAGCAAGUUUCGCCAAGGGUAAUCUGCUACGAGAAUCACCCCUUCAAUUUAUGCUGUGCGCCCCGGAGCCUACGUUUUCCUCAUCAUCUUCGCCAAAAGGAGAAAUGAUCGUAGAAAAGAUUGAACUUUAUUUACGAACUGAUUCACUCUGCGGAUAGGCUUUACGCCGAAGUAAAACAGUAGUUACCGUCAGCAGGAGUGAACUUUUUGAAAAACUAAGAAAAAAGAUAAAUGAUUCGAAGUACAAAAUAUUAUCGUAGAUUACAUUAAAAAAAAGUUUAAUUUAACAAAUCCUAGUCGAGUUAUGUAAAAUGAGUUACGAGGAAUUAGACACCUUCCUUUAGAUUCUGAUAGCGUGGGUGUCAUCGUCACCGAUUAAACGCUAUCAGAAUCUAAAGGAAGGUGUCGAAUAGACCAUCUCUAACCGACUUUUCCCGCGACCGACACGGAGCUUCAUUUACACCUGGAGACAGGUGGGACACCAAUUAGAAAGCGCGGAAGAAAAGUCCGUCCAAUUAGCGACGAUUCGGUCACGAAAAACUUAUAAAAACUUCGACGUCAAGGACAGAAAGUGGCCUCCUCUAGUCUACCUGUGGUUUUAGUUUCCUCUCCGCUCGUCAUACGUCCGUUCAUCAUUUUUUUGUGUGCUGAUUCUCCCUAUACGAACUAUUAAAGUGUCGUCGCCCCGGGGGCCCUGUCGGCGUUGGACUGGAACGGAAAAAAGAAACGACUGAAGACAACUCACCGAACUCUGAACCCCGGAAUCUUGAUAAUUUUAUGUAAGCACAUUCGUCAAAAAUAAAUGGUUUCCUUG